UUGGGAGACAUCGCUGAUGGAGAUGCAGCCCUCCGGGGCGUGAGGGCGGCUCCAAGGCCCGCGCUAGCAGCGGGGAGGACCGGAGCUGUGGACGCGGAGGAGACCCGUCAGGAGCAUAAAUGGACUGCGCCGGCUGGGACGUCACGAUGCGUCGUCGCCACAAAGCUCAUGAACGCGCUCAUUUGGCUCCCAGCAUGCCGCACACCCGGAGGGACCGCCGCUUACAAGGAGGACCCCCUAAAAGCCCGACCUGGAGCACCCGAGGAGGAACAAGAGCAUCCAGAGGUUUCUGUCGCACACUAGCUGCUGCAGGCCUGAGGGGUUGUCUGUUAUCUUUGGUUAUCUAGCUGUAUGAGUGACGUACAUUCUUCAUAAAGCUAGAUAACCGAAAGUAACAAGAAUCCCAUUACACGCCUGCACAGGAAGAAGGAAAACGGCGCGGAAAUUGAGCCCAGAGAGCAGCGGAUCGGGCUGGAGGUGGACGGCAGCUGCUGCUAACCAAUGAUGUGAAGGUUUCUGAUCCGGAGGAGUUUUACAACAAACUACUCAACAAUUGAAGCUGAAGAAAAGAUCUCAAACAAAGCAACCUGGUAGAAAUCAGUUCAGACGCUCACAUCGUUCGGUUGGAUACAGAAAACUUCCAACAUGUCGACUGUUCGACAUGUUGGAUACGUCAAACGAUACGAAGGACAGAGUGAUGGAUUCUGGGAAACCGCCCUGCACAGAUGUUCAGGAAACAUCUGGACUAGAUUUUAAUGUAGGUCAGAGCUCAGAUCAGCAUCUCUCUCACAAACACACAAACAAAACAACAAUUCAGCUGAGAUGCAAGUCAUAUUUAUGUAUUUUUAUGUAAAAAAAAAAAAAUCUGAAAUUGACAAAAUUAGUGAUUUUAAGUAGUCAAGUUUUAGAUUUGCUUUAUUUUAGGAAGAACUUUUUUCAUCUUUAUCUUAAUUUCUUUAUUUUCAUUAGCUUUUAAGUUUUAUACUUGGUGAUAUUUGUCCUGUGUGAAUCUGAAUGGCUCAGUUUAUUGACAAUCUUAGGACUCUCAGCAAUCAUCUCUGAUUUUAUGUCAAACUUGUUACAUUUAUUUUAUUGACUCAGGAUAAAGUUUUAUUAUUAUUUCUGACUGAGAAUGUAUCAUUUGUUUCUUGAAAUUUUGCACUAAUUGAAGCAGUUUGCAGAAAGGUUUUUUUUAAAUGUUUAAAAGUUUAAAGGUUUAAUGUCAUUCAGUAUCGUAAAAGAAAAAGAUCGGAAAAUAAAAGAAGAUAAUUUUUUGUAGUAUUUGUUCUUGGAAAGAGUUUGCACAGAUCAGCUAGGUUUGCACUAAAAAAAGUUAGAUGUUCAGCCUUGAUUUGCACUAUAUGAGCACAAUGCAAUGUAGAAAAAGUAUGAGAGUCAGUCUGAGAUUUAAAUAUGAGUUUUUGUUCCACAAAUAUGUAUAAAUUACUGAUUCAACAUGUUAAAAAGUCUCAUUUUGUUGUAAUGUGAACGCGUGUAACUGAUUUUAAUCAGAAAAAACUGUUUAAAGGUACGAAUAAUUACACAAUAUUGCACUAUUAAUAAUUGCCUCUUAGCAAUUUUAGAAGUUCAGUUUGCACAUAACCUGAGCUGUGCUAUGCAGUGGUUUCUAAUGUAAAUCAAUAAAAGUAUUGAUGUUUACAAUAAGACAUUCA